rnacentral:rRNA from 1 species
UACGUAGGGUGCGAGCGUUAAUCGGAAUUACUGGGCGUAAAGCGUGCGCAGGCGGUUCGUUGUGUCGGCGGUGAAAGCCCCGGGCUUAACCUGGGAACGGCCGUUGAAACUGGCGAACUGGAGUGUGGCAGAGGGGGGUGGGAAUUCCGCGUGUAGCAGUGAAAUGCGUAGAGAUGCGGAGGAACACCGAUGGCGAAGGCAGCCCCCCUGGGCUAACACUGACGCUGAGGCACGAAAGCGUGGGGAGCAAACAGG